GAAAUGCGAUACGUAAUGCGAAUUGCAGAAUUCCGCGAAUCAUCCAAUCUUUGAACGCAUAUGGCACUUACAUGCACAAUGUAAGUACGCCUAUUGGAGCACGUUUUCUUCUAUCUUUGUUUGUAUUCUAUUCUUUGUAAUACAAUUAAAGGCUCUGUUGGUUGGUUAUCUUUAUAAUAACAAUCCAAUGAAAACUAUAUAUGAUUUACAUUCAAGGUUUCAAACUUGUAAUGCAAUGAUAGGUAAUUUGUUAUAUCUAUAUAACAAUCCAUGAUUGUAUUUAGUUCUUGAUAUGUUUCUUCAACUUUUGUUGCCCCUUAAUCAAAUAACGUCUCCAAUAGACGAGAAAACCCGCUGAACUUAA
rnacentral:misc_RNA from 1 species